rnacentral:rRNA from 1 species
UACAGAGGUCUCAAGCGUUUGUUCGGAUUCAUUGGGCGUAAAGGGUGCGUAGGCGGCGCGGUAAGUCGGGUGUGAAAUCUUGGAGCUUAACUCCGAAACUGCAUUCGAUACUGCCGUGCUUGAGGACUGGAGAGGAGACUGGAAUUUACGGUGUAGCGGUGAAAUGCGUAGAUAUCGUAAGGAAGACCAGUGGCGAAGGCGGGUCUCUGGACAGUUCCUGACACUAAGACACGAAGGCCAGGGGAGCAAACGGG